AAUAACUACAUUGCAAAAAUAAUUAACUAGUGAGCAUGACUAGAGUUUUACCAUAAUAAAAUAAAUACUACACAAAAUAGUUUAAACAUAGUUAUUAGUUACUUAGAACUGAAAAUUAAAUUGCCACCACCAGAAACGUUAUAUUUGUAUGCUGUCCAAUUUCAGGCAUCAAUUUGUACAACACUAUGCAUCCUAUUAUACUGACUAUAGCAUACAUUAGAAACGUUCCAAACAAUUGAAUGUGGUCUAAAACGACAAAAAAAGAUUUGUUUGCAAUAAAUGCAAAUAUAUAGGAACUUGAACCACUUGCACCACUAGCUUGUCCACGAAUAUUCGGUGGAUAAACCUAAAAAUGAUAAAUUUUUAAAGUGUAUUAAAUAAUAGUAAAAAUUAAUUUGCUUACUUCUCCAAUGAGCAUCCAUGGAAGUAACCUGAUCGAAAUAUGAGAAAAAAAUGAUGCCAUAUUUAAAAAUACGAUUGGUAUCCAAGUUGUAUUGUUAGUAGCUUCAAUAUUGUACUGUCUAGUAUACGCAUAGCCUGAUACAAUAAAAAAACAAAAAGACGUCCCAAGUGUGGAAACCAUUGCUAAUGGACGUUUACCUGUCCAGUGUAUUAAUGUAACACAUAAAAGUGCCCCCAUAAGUUGUGCCAUUCCAAGAAUUAAUGUUGAAGCAUAUCCACUUAUUGGAGAA